rnacentral:rRNA from 1 species
UUGAACGCUGGCGGCAGGCCUAACCCCUGCCAGUCGCACGGUAACAGGAAGCAGCUUGCUGCUUUGCUGACGAGUGGCGGACGGGUGAGUAAUGUCUGGGAAACUGCCCGAUGGAGGGGGAUAACUACUGGAAACGGUAGCUAAUACCGCAUAACGUCGCAAGACCAAAGAGGGGGACCUUAGGGCCUCUUGCCAUCGGAUGUGCCCAGAUGGGAUUAGCUAGUAGGUGGGGUAACGGCUCACCUAGGCGACGAUCCCUAGCUGGUCUGAGAGGAUGACCAGCCACACUGGAACUGAGACACGGUCCAGACUCCUACGGGAGGCAGCAGUGGGGAAUAUUGCACAAUGGGCGCAAGCCUGAUGCAGCCAUGCCGCGUGUAUGAAGAAGGCCUUCGGGUUGUAAAGUACUUUCAGCGGGGAGGAAGGGAGUAAAGUUAAUACCUUUGCUCAUUGACGUUACCCGCAGAAGAAGCACCGGCUAACUCCGUG